rnacentral:rRNA from 1 species
GACGAACGCUGGCGGCGUGCCUAAUACAUUCAAGUCGAGCGCAGGAAGCUGACGGAACUCUUCGGAGGGAAGGCAGUGGAAUGAGCGGCGGACGGGUGAGUAACACGUAAGGAACCUGCCUCAAGGAUUGGGAUGACUCCGAGAAAUCGGAGCUAAUACCGGAUAGUUCAACGGACCGCAUGGUCCGCUGAUGAAAGGCGCUUCGGCGUCACCUUGAGAUGGCCUUGCGGUGCAUUAGCUAGUUGGUGGGGUAACGGCCCACCAAGGCGACGAGGCAUAGCCGGCCUGAGAGGGGGAUCGGCCAAACUGGGACUGAGACACGGCCCAGACUCCUACGGGAGGCAGCAGUAGGGAAUCUUCCACAAUGGACGAAAGUCUGAUGGAGCGAGGCCGCGUGAGUGAUGAAGGUUUUCGGAUCGUAAAACUCUGUUGUAAGGGAAGAACACGUACGAGAGGGAAUGCUCGUACCUUGACGGUACCUUACGAGAAAGCCACGGCUAACUACGUGCCAGCCGCCGCCGUAAAAC